rnacentral:rRNA from 1 species
UGGCGGACGCCUGAGUAACGCGUGAGCAACCUACCUUCUGAUGGGGGAUAACGUCUGGAAACGGACGCUAAUACCGCAUAAACCGAUGUUAUCGCAUGGUGAUAUCGGCAAAGAGAUAUCGUCAGGAGAUGGGCUCGCGUUGGAUUAGAUAGUUGGCGGGGUAACGGCCCACCAAGUCAACGAUCCAUAGCCGGACUGAGAGGUCGGACGGCCACAUUGGAACUGAGAUACGGUCCAGACUCCUACGGGAGGCAGCAGUGGGGAAUAUUGGGCAAUGGGCGAAAGCCUGACCCAGCGACGCCGCGUGAAGGAAGAAGGUCUUCGGAUUGUAAACUUCAGUAGGCAGGGACGAAGAAAGUGACGGUACCUGCAGAGUAAGCCACGGCUAACUACGUGCCAGCAGCCGCGGUAAUACGUAGGUGGCGAGCGUUAUCCGGAUUUACUGGGUGUA